rnacentral:rRNA from 2 species
GGAACCACCUGACCCCAUGCCGAACUCAGAAGUGAAACGCUGUAGCGCCGAUGGUAGUGUGGCAUUCGCCAUGCGAGAGUAGGACACUGCCAGGC